rnacentral:lncRNA from 1 species
CUACUUAGACUAGGAUUUUUGCAUUAUCAGUUUUCCUUCCUUUUUCCAUUGAAUUUGUUUCAGAUCUUUGCUUUGUGUAAAACAGUGGUCACAUGUGAAGAACAACCUGGUCAUACUUGAUAUCAACUUGUAAAUCACAUCUCUCUCCAUGCCUCACUGAAAUCACCUGCUCUGGACCACACAUCUCAUGACAGAUCUAUUCUACUGUGAGAGAAGAACCUGUCUGCUUUCAAAUUGAUACAUCCAGCAACUGGCUGCCUCUUUUAGAGAUGUCAUGGAUGCUGGAGAUUUGGCUUAAUCCCAGUUUGAAGUUUUCUGCCAAAUCGAAGACUGAAUAGAAAAGAUGGAUUCCAAAUGAAAAGGCACUUGCAGCAGAAAUGACAUUU